CCCUUAGAUGUUCUGGGCCGCACGCGCGCUACACUGAUACGUUCAGCGAGUAUAUAACCUUGAUUGGAAAAUCUGGGUAAUCUUUUGAAUGCGUAUCGUGCUAGGGAUAGAUUAUUGCAAAUAUUAAUCUUGAACGAGGAAUUCCUAGUAAGCGCAAGUCAACAGCUUGCGUUGAUUACGUCCCUGCCCUUUGUACACACCGCCCGUCGCUACUACUGAUUGGAUGUUUAAGCGAGGUUCUCGAACUGCUAGCGACUUAGCUUCGGUGAGGUCGCAGUGUGGGAAGUGAACCUAGCUUUGGUGUCUAGAGGAAGUAAAAGUCGUAACA
rnacentral:rRNA from 1 species